CCCUCUGGCCCUGGAGCCUGAGAGACAGAAAAUGGGAUUUCUGUUUCCAGCCCAGUGGUACAGGCUGUCCCCUGGGGGAUCUGGCGUGGGGCAUCCCAGGGGACACUAACGCUGCUGGUCUUCAGACCACACUGGGAGUUGUGAGGCGCCUUUCCAGGAUACCCUGAAGGGUGCCUGUCACUCUGAAGAGUGACAACCCGGCACAUCUCGGACACGCAUUUUCUCUCUGAGCCUUGGUUUCCUAAUGAACGAAAGCCAGUUGAUAUUCCCUAGAUGGUAAGGAAGCUUCUACCAUCAACUUCAGGCUGCCUCACGAUUGCCCAGAGUGCUACUGAAAAAUACAGACUUCAUGUUUCUACCCCAGAGAUUCGGACUCACUGGUGUUGAUCAAGACUCAUUUUCAUGAAGCCCCUCAGUCGAUUCUCUUGGGCAACGAGGUUGGGGAAGGAAGGAAGUCUUGUCAGCCUCCGACUAUGAAGGUGGCAUAAACAUCUGUCACGGUGCCUGCUGCAGAAUAAGGAAAAGAGACGUCUGGAGAAUUAACCUGUGAGGCACAAGACAUGGGCUGCGGCAGCCCAGAAAGUCUCCACUCGGGUCUCCUUCGAGUAUAAUUGCCGCAGGAAGCGCAGUUCACGGACAGCCCCAACCACCAACUCUUUGGAAGAAUGAGUGAGCAUGGCACCAGUGCCAAUCUCUUUCUCCCUUUCCCACUGGACAAUCUUGGCUCAGGGUCACUCAACCCGGGAGAUGCCAGCUGCUGUGUGGGGAUGCUCGAGCAGCUCUAUGGAGACAUCCAUAUGCCAAGGAACUGGAGCUUCUGCCAACAACCAGCCAUACCCUGUCAAGCACGUGACAAUUCAUCGUGGAAGGCGAUCCUCUAGUCCCAGGCAAGCCUUCAAAUGACCGCAGUCCCAGCCGAAAUUUUGACAACAAUCUCUCAAGAGACCCUCACCCAUCAGCACCCAGCUAAGAUGCUUCUGGAUUUCUGACCCACAAACACAAUGUGAGAUAAUACAUGUUUAAUGAUGUUUUAAGCCACUAAAUUUGGGAGCAAUUACAUAGUAACAGAUACCCAAUGCAGGGGGACACUUUAGGUUCUGCUUAUCUGGCUUCAACAUUAGCUUUCUUACUCAAACGAAGAUGAAAAACAAACAAGUAAACAACAACUUAGGCAUUUUGUUUAUUUGUCAAUAAAUAUCAAAUAACUAGUAUGGGUCAGGUAUUAUAAUUUCAAUAAGUUACAUUAGGUAUGCAUUAUUACUUAUCAACUGAAUUAUGGGAAUAAAAUUGUACCUAUGAUACAAAGUUUUUAUGAGAAUUAAAUGAGAGAAUGCACGUAAAACGUUUUUCAAUGCCUGACACAUAGUUGACACUGAAUAAAUGUUAGUAAUGAGAAUAAGAAUUAGUAAUAACAACAAUGAUUAUUAUUUUGUUGUUGUUAUUAAUUAUUAUUGUUGUUAUUAUUAAUUCUUGUGCUCAGGCCAUUAAGUUGAGCAAGGUCCUGGAAGGUACGGAGCAGAUCAGGACUCGAACCCACGUCUAUUUCAUUCCACUUUCCCUGCUCUUAAUAAUGAAGUGGUUGCAACUGUAUUGUGUACUAUUGACCGAAACACUGUACUGGACAUUUGGGACAGAAAGGGAAAUAAGCAUUCUCCUGCCUCACGCUCUUAUAGUGAAGUAAAUAAAGGCAACUUGUAUUUUAUUAAGUGUAACCAAUUCUGCAAAGCGCCAGGAUGGAAAUCCACACAGCGUGGAGUGAGGGCACAAAGAAGAAAGCGAGCAGUCAGCUGCUUUGCCUUAGUUCUGCCUGUAGCCUUUGCUGACCCAGGCCCUUCGGAACCUCAUCUCUUCCACCCUAAGCCUUCUAACCCACCUCCUCAUUGUUUUCCUCCGACCACACCAAACUUUCUAAUCCCUGAUAUGCUCUCCUACACUGUGACCACUCACAGACUGAAGUGCUCACUCCCAUUAUUCAGAAACCAGCACGCUGCAUGGGGGACUAUGGCUUCUGAAAGGUGGCACUUCUGGGGCUGUGAUGACAGGUUUGGGCACAAACGUUGGUGACUGCCACCUGAGCCCCUGUGGCUUGCUGCAGCAGGGCCUCCUGCCUCGGUCUCAACCUUGGGUGAAGCGAAGGAGGUGAACAGUUCA